rnacentral:lncRNA from 1 species
CGGGCGCGGGGGGCAGCGCCCGCAGGGUCGGACGGUUUUCCGACAGAAGCGAAGUAAGUGGGUGAGCCCGUGUUAGGCUCGGGCGGAAAGAAGGCAGGAGGCUGGGUGGUCACUUGCCUCGCGACCCCGAGUGGGCAGUAACGGCCCGAGAGGAAACUCCGGAGGGGGCUGCGUGGCCGGGCCUUCGCGCACAGUCUGUGCUCGCCGAGUCUUGGCACGAAAUAAGAUUGCAGCCUGGCUGGAAGAGAGCAAGAAGCGGGGGUCUGCCUGUAGCCCAGUGACAGCGCUGAAGAUAGCGGAGGGAUCAGGAGUCCCCAUUCAGCUCUUUCCACCUCAAAUCCAAGAGUGUGAGUUACGGCGAGGAGGCCUCCAGGAGAUACGUGGCAGAGCAAGGCCUGGUGGACAGGAGGCAGGAGAAUGGAGGAGAAUCAAUGUCCACAGAUGGUAUGGCAGGAAUUAUAACAGUAUCUAUAAAUAAACCAGCAUAAGUAUGAAGGUACUUUGAAAACUGGCAAUAUGGAGGAGAGAAAUUUUGCUAAUAGGUUUCAUAAAUAUUUGCUGGCAACAGGAGAGCAGUGAAAUCAAUGGAUUCCAUUCCUGCCUCUGGAUUCAAAUUUCUUCACUUUUUCAGAAUUUAUACACUGGAAGAUCUUGAAUACGUUUUUGGAAGAAAGGCUAGAGCUUAUUUCU